rnacentral:rRNA from 1 species
CAACUUUCAGCAGCGGAUCUCUUGGCUCUCGCAUCGAUGAAGAACGCAGCGAAAUGCGAUAAGUAAUGUGAAUUGCAGAAUUCAGUGAAUCAUCGAAUCUUUGAACGCACCUUGCGCUCCUUGGUAUUCCGAGGAGCAUGCCUGUUUGAGUGUCAUG